GUUUAGCUAUUGUCAGAAAACGACAAAAGAGAGCUGCUGAUUUUUAAUUAAAUUUCAACCUUUCGUGAAAAGUUAUUUGUGGUUGAGAAUUUUCAGUGGUUGAAAUAUUAUAACCAUUUAGGUUUUGAAGCUGACCCCUUCAUUCUAGUAAAAGGUUCAUUGUGCAUGAAUCAAGUACUAGAGCGACGGCUUGUGCAUGUCAUGGUGUAACACGGAUGAAGGAGACAGAAGCUGGCUAAUAAAGUCAAAAAUCAAUUAUAUAAAUUAGAUUCCAUCCAUAUGUGACAAAGAAACUGAACAUUUUUCACGACCCUUCCAUCCUAUCACUUUGGUCAAUUUAGUUCAUGAAAGAUACAAUGUGAAAGUGCUUCAUUCGCAUAUGUGAGUUACGCCAGUUUACAAGGGUA